UCCCUGGUGGUCUAGGAGUUAAGACUGGGCAUUUUCACUGCUGCGGUCCAGGUUCAAUUCCUGGUCUAGGAA
rnacentral:tRNA from 1 species